rnacentral:rRNA from 1 species
GAUGAACGCUAGCGGCAGGCUUAAUACAUGUAAGUCGUGGGGCAGCAUGAGUGUAGCAAUACAUUUGAUGGCGACCGGCAAACGGGUGCGGAACACGUACAGAACCCUCCUUCAAGCGGGGCAUAGCCCAGAGAAAUUUGGAUUAAUACCCCAUAAUAUAAUGAAGAGGCAUCUCUUUGUUAUUAAAGAUUUAUCACUUGAAGAUGGCUGUGCGGCUGAUUAGGUAGUUGGCGGGGUAACGGCCCACCAAGCCUGCGAUCAGUAACUGGUGUGAGAGCACGACCAGUCACACGGGCACUGAGACACGGGCCCGACUCCUACGGGAGGCAGCAGUAAGGAAUAUUGGUCAAUGGACGCAAGUCUGAACCAGCCAUGCCGCGUGGAGGAUGAAGGUCCUCUGGAUUGUAAACUUCUUUUAUAUGGGACGAAAAAAGGCUUUUCUAAGUCGUCUGACGGUACCAUAUGAAUAAGCACUGGCUAACUCCGUGCCAGCCGCCGCAGUAACAC